UCAAGUGACUAAGUGUAUGUGGUGGAUGCCUUGGCGAUCAUAGGCGAUGAAGGACGUGUAAGCCUGCGAAAAGCUGCGGGGAGUCGGCAAAAAGACUUUGAUCCGCAGAUGUCCGAAUGAGGAAACUCACCGGGUAACCGGUAUCACAAACUGAAUACAUAGGUUUGUGAAGCGAACGCAGUGAACUGAAACAUCUAAGUAACUGCAGGAAAAGAAAUCAACCGAGAUUGCGGCAGUAGCGGCGAGCGAAACCGCAGCAGCCUAGUCUUUGAUAAUGCAUGGUGACAGCAGAACGGUCUGGAAAGGCCGGCCACAGUGGGUGACAGCCCCGUAUGCGAAGUCCGGUGCAUGGUACUAAAAAGACGAUAAGUAGGGCGGGACACGUGACAUCCUGUCCGAAGAUGGGGGGACCAUCCUCCAAGGCUAAAUACUCAUGAUCGACCGAUAGCGAACCAGUACUGUGAAGGAAAGGCGAAAAGAACCCCGGGAGGGGAGUGAAAUAGAACCUGAAACCGCAUACAUACAAACAGUAGGAGCCCUACGGGGUGACUGCGUACCUUUUGCAUAAUGGGUCAGCGACUUACGUUUUGCGGCAAGCUUAACCGAGUAGGGGAGGCGCAGCGAAAGCGAGUUCGAACAGAGCGAUAGAGUCGUAAGGCGUAGACCCGAAACCAGAUGAGCUAACCAUGGCCAGGUUGAAGGUGUGGUAACACACACUGGAGGACCGAACCGACCGGUGUUGCAAAACCGGCGGAUGAGCUGUGGUUAGGGGUGAAAGGCUUAACAAAUCUGGAGAUAGCUGGUUCUCCCCGAAAACUAUUGAGGUAGUGCCUCGUGACUGACUCCGGGGGGUAGAGCACUGUUAUGGCUAGGGGGACAUGGCGUCUUACCAAACCAUGGCAAACUCCGAAUACCCGGAAGUUGAAUCACGGGAGACAGAGCACCGGGUGCUAACGUCCGGACUCAAAAGGGAAACAACCCAGACCGCCGUUUAAGGUCCCAAAUACAGGCUAAGUGGAAAACGAAGUGUGAAGGCUAAGACAGUCAGGAAGUUGGCUUAGAAGCAGCCAUCCUUCAAAGAAAGCGUAAUAGCUCACUGAUCGAGUCCUCAUGCGCGGAAGAUGUAACGGGGCUAAGUCUGUAACCGAAAGCGCGGAUUUGCACGCAAGUGCAAGUGGUAGGGGAGCGUUCUGUAAGCCUGCGAAGGUGUGUGGUAACGCAUGCCGGAGGUAUCAGAAGUGCGAAUGCUGACAUGAGUAACGAUAAAGCGGGUGAAAAGCCCGCUCGCCGUAAGCCCAAGGUUUCCUGCUCUACGUUCAUCGGAGCAGGGUGAGUCGGCCCCUAAGGCCAGGCUGAGAAGCGUAGCUGAUGGGAAGCAGAUUAAGAUUUCUGCACCGACGUUAAGUGCGAAGGGGGGACGGAGUUUUGAGCAUCAUCCGGGUGUUGGAUGUCCCGGUUUGUGCGUGUAGGAGGCCGGCAGGCAAAUCCGCCGGCGAAUCUCCGAGACAAAGCAUCGAGCUGCAUUUUGCAGUGAAGUGAUGGGAUGAACUUCCAGGAAAAGCCUCUAAGCAAUAGCUUAAUGUCGACCGUACCGUAAACCGACACAGGUGGGCGAGUUGAAUAUACUCAGGCGCUUGAGAGAACUCGGGAGAAGGAACUCGGCAAAUUGACACCGUAACUUCGGGAUAAGGUGUGCCUUUGUAGUGUGAAGAGUGAAACACUCCGAGCAUGAAGAGGUCACAGAGAAUAGGUGGCUGCAACUGUUUACUAAAAACACAGCACUCUGCAAAGACGAAAGUCGACGUAUAGGGUGUGAUGCCUGCCCGGUGCCGGAAGAUUAAGUGAUGGGGUGAGAGCUCCUGAUCGAAGUCCCGGUAAACGGCGGCCGUAACUAUAACGGUCCUAAGGUAGCGAAAUUCCUUGUC
rnacentral:rRNA from 1 species